rnacentral:rRNA from 1 species
CUAACCAGGAUUCCCCUAGUAACGGCGAGUGAAGAGGGAAAAGCCCAGCACCGAAGCCUGCGUCAGUUUUGAUGUUAGGCAAUGUGGUGUUUGGGUCGGCUCGCGGGAUUGCCACUCCACUCGAAGUCCAGCAUUGAGUAUGGUCACUGGAUUUGGCCCAGAGAGGGUGAAAGGCCCGUACGGGUGGAGGUUCAGACAUGUAAGGCAAUUCACCAGGCCGACCUUCGAGUCGGGUUGUUUGGGAAUGCAGCCCAAAGUGGGUGGUAAACUCCAUCCAAGGCUAAAUACAAGCACGAGUCCGAUAGCGAACAAGUACCGUGAGGGAAAGUUGAAAAGUACUUUGAAGAGAGAGUAAACAGUACGUGAAACCGCAUGCAGGUAAACGGGUGGCGUCAAGCUGCGAGCCCAGAGGAUUCAGCUGGCUAGUAUGUAGUGUAUGCGCCUGGCGCAUCAAUCAGUCAGAGUAGGAUGUGAUAGUCCACUGGUAAACGGUGGGCCUGGCCGCAAGGUUGGGUGAUGUGUACCGGGUGGAAGCCGGAGCAUGCUAUCCGUCUAGGGACUGUCUAGCCAGUGCACUUUCUCUGUGGUGAACACCACGACCGGUGGAAUUGCCAGUCUGCUGUAGUCAAGUCGUGUCUGGUAGGUCCUUGUGGCCAACUGGGUGCGGCGAUCACAGGCAAUGUCAGUAAACGGCACAGAGGUGCUUCGGUACUUUUGUGUGUUAUCGGCUACUGCUUGUCAACGGGCCUGCCUGAUGGUUGUUGUAACCGCCUCAGGUGGUCUGGUGGACUAUGGUGGUAAGAAUAACUGUGCAAGGCACCGGAGUUAUCGGCCUCAAAUGCAUCUCGCCUACGCGUUACAAGUGGUGUGGGGUGUCGUUGCUGCCUGCCUGUUGUUAGGUCUGAUUGUCGUGUCGCCUGCGCAAAGUGGGCCCGGCAGUGGCUUGAUGCAGGAUGGGUAGUGGAUGGCGCCUCCUGUGUGGGAUGUGGUGGGCCUAAUAGUCAGUGGUGUAGUGGUAGACGAGCUACCCGACCCGUCUUGAAACACGGACCAAGGAGUUUAACAUGUAUGCGAGUCAAUGGGUCCUACGAAACCCAAAGGCGCAGUGAAAGUGAAGCUUCGACUUGUUCUCGAAGUGAGGUGAGAUCCUGCUGUUACUCGCAUCAGCCUUAUGUCAGCAUCAGGCUAAGAGCGGUAGGCGCAUCACCGGCCCGUCCCAUGAUGUGGUCAUUGGAUUGCUUGCAGUGGUCCUCGU